rnacentral:rRNA from 1 species
UGAGGAAUAAUGGUCAAUGGGCGCAAGCCUGAACCAGCCAUCCCGCGUGCAGGAAGACGGCGCUAUGCGUUGUAAACUGCUUUUCCAGGGAGAGAAACUUGCGCACGUGUUGCGCAAUUGACGGUACCCUGGGAAUAAGCAUCGGCUAACUCCGUGCCAGCAGCCGCGGUAAUACGGAGGAUGCGAGCGUUAUCCGGAUUCAUUGGGUUUAAAGGGUGCGUAGGCGGACUAUUAAGUCAGUGGUGAAAUCCUGCAGCUUAACUGCAGA